GCUUCUCCGCUCCGCAGUCGCGUCGCGGUUUUUCUCCUUCGCGGUGUUCCUUUCUUUAUGCACGCGAUCGCAUCGUUCGCUCUUUUAACGCGCAGUAAUGGAAUUUCUGUUUUCUACCGACUAGAUCGUAACUACCCACCUCCUCCGCUAGUUGUUUUUUCCCCCCUCGUCGUCGGAGUUUCGUUACUUCGGAAUGGACGUAGAUUAGCGUUCGGCCGAACAGAGAGAAACGUGGCGGCCGUUUAUCGUAAAUACGUAAAUCAAAUUUGGAAACACAAUAAACGGCAGGGAAAUGGCAUGCAAACGCAUGCGACGCUCUGACAGGACUUGAAAACACGAUCUCGGCAAAAUAAAUGGCACGAACAGGUCGUUUGUCUUCUUGCCAGACAUCAUUGCCUUCUGCGGCGGAUUUAAUUCGUUUUACAUGUAAAUUAUAUAUCGUCAACUGAUUUCUCUGUAAGAUAUUAUUAUUCCUAAACUGCAUGUUAAUUUGAUCUUAACAUCAUUGCAUUCUUCUCUUUUUUUCCGUCACUUGAAAUUCAAUGUAGAUUAAUCCAGACGUAUAAGAGUCCAUUGCAAAAUUGCAAGAGGCGUUUAACUGAGGAUUCUCUCGCUUGAUCCUGUAUUUCCGUUUAUACCUGAAGUACACUUUCGUGGUUGCAGAGCUGCACGUUAUUGGCAGCUGACCUAAAGACGAACUCAUUAACUGCAAUGAUCGCCUAGUUGAACUCCGCAUCCGCGCAGUCAGGAUGAUGAUCGGCACUUCUACCGUAAAUAACCAUCCUUUGCGUGUCGCCAAGGGACAGCCAAGAAAGGUGGAGGGACCGCGUGAAACAACGCGAAAGCGUAACCGUGCUAGCCGAGUGGAAAACGAACUCGAUGACUUCCCGGCCACGAAGGUGAAUUCGAUGUUUCACCGAAACUUCAAGGAUCACGGUUGGUUGAUGCAAGCGCUCUUUGAUGCAAGCGCUAAUGGAUCAUCAUAACGCAAGGCUACACGCGCAUCCAUCAUAUCAUGUAAAAAAUUUAUCCUAAAAAAUAAAUAAAAUGUUCUCUUUUUAUUUAUUGUUUUAUUUCAAUUAAUUUUCUUCUCUUGGCGAUCAGAUAAAUUCUUGACAAAUUUCAAGAUUGGUCAUUGUUAGUAGCGAUUCGGAGAACUCGUCGCGCGAAAGAUUGAUUCGCAAAGUUCUAUUAUGAGGCGCAGAAUCGUCAUGAAAUAUUCGAUAUGCAGAUUUAUGUAAUCAAAAGGAGGCGCCCGAAAGCAUCGAGCGUUCUGUAUCUCCUACGGGCUCCAGCAAUUCCCUCUCGUCUCGAUGAAUUUUCUGCUUCACAGCGGAGCCGACUUAAUGAGAAUAUAAUCUUAGUUGUGCGUGGUCUCACUCGUUCCGUACGGCCGAUGUUCCCGCCAUUUCACGUUCCACGUCUUCUUCAUCUCUUUCCUCCCGUACCCUCUGCACCGUAUCCGGUCCUUCCUUCCGGCAAUUACUCUCGUCUCGACGUCGCGCGGAAUUAUUAUCGUCCGUAACCGAUCGGACGAGAAGCUGGGGAGGAAAUGCUUGCCGUAUCUCCCUCGACUCGCUCUUCUACUUUUAUGAAUGCCCCAACAAUAAACAUCAUUAAUGCGCGCUCCCUGUUAACGCGUGAUUUAUUCCGAGUCUGAUUUAUCCCGGAUUGUUCAGAAUUGAAGCUAAUAAAUUCAAGAUCGCAUUGGAAAUAUUCGCUCGGAAUGCAUGAGAGAUUAAUGAAAAUCUCAAACUAUUUCAAACUAAUUCAUCUUUAAUCUAUAACAAUUUAUCUAUUAUAUAUUAUAUUAUUUUAUAUCAUUUUUUUAUUCGAUACAAAAUCGAUAAAUGGGGAGAGUAAAUCCAAAACUUUAUCUUUGUGUGAUAUGUAUAUAUCAUAAGUUUUUAAUUCAUCAAUCAUUUUGCAGUAGACAUAAACCUUCUUGUUAGAAACGAACGCGUCUCGUAAAAUGUUCGUUUCGGCAUCAGUCAAAAUUCAGAGGCACCGCCAAUUGACAUGCGAUUCGAGAGAGUUGCCGAUUAAACUGUGCAUCACCGGCGGCACAAUGGCCCAGCACCGACCGCACAGGAAGGCUUCUAUCACCGCUGAUUUAGCUUCAUUAGGAUUUUUAUUAAUAAUUUCGCUAAUUGCAGGGUUUGCCGAAUUAAUUGGGCGCGUCUCGCGCGUCCAAUUGCGUCUAUAAGGACCGAGGGCACCACGAGAAAUAAGAAUGCGAUUGCAUGGAACGGAGAAUAAAUACAGGAUGCAGCAAAUAAUAAUAAAGGUGCAUGUAUGCACGAUAAAUAAAGAAAACAGAAGAGACGGGUACUGGAAACUGAUAUCGCAGAAAAUUCAUAAUGUUAGGUUAACAUAAUUAAAUGUUAAAAUAAUAUGUUAAAAUAUAUCAAGGCACAAGCUAUUUCAUUGUUUUCUGGAAUUAAAAUUUGAAAAAGGGACAAGAAAAGGUAAGCGGAUUAAAUGAAUAAAACAUUGAUUUUGUCAUAUUG
rnacentral:lncRNA from 1 species